AUGAACGCUAGCUACAGGCUUAACACAUGCAAGUCGAGGGGCAGCAUGAACUUAGCUUGCUAAGUUUGAUGGCGACCGGCGCACGGGUGAGUAACACGUAUCCAACCUGCCGAUGACUCGGGGAUAGCCUUUCGAAAGAAAGAUUAAUACCCGAUGGCAUAGUUCUUCCGCAUGGUAGAACUAUUAAAGAAUUUCGGUCAUCGAUGGGGAUGCGUUCCAUUAGGUUGUUGGCGGGGUAACGGCCCACCAAGCCUUCGAUGGAUAGGGGUUCUGAGAGGAAGGUCCCCCACAUUGGAACUGAGACACGGUCCAAACUCCUACGGGAGGCAGCAGUGAGGAAUAUUGGUCAAUGGACGAGAGUCUGAACCAGCCAAGUAGCGUGAAGGAUGACUGCCCUAUGGGUUGUAAACUUCUUUUAUACGGGAAUAAAGUGAGGCACGUGUGCCUUUUUGUAUGUACCGUAUGAAUAAGGAUCGGCUAACUCCGUGCCAGCAGCCGCGGUAAUACGGAGGAUCCGAGCGUUAUCCGGAUUUAUUGGGUUUAAAGGGAGCGUAGGCGGACGCUUAAGUCAGUUGUGAAAGUUUGCGGCUCAACCGUAAAAUUGCAGUUGAUACUGGGUGUCUUGAGUACAGUAGAGGCAGGCGGAAUUCGUGGUGUAGCGGUGAAAUGCUUAGAUAUCACGAAGAACUCCGAUUGCGAAGGCAGCUUGCUGGACUGUAACUGACGCUGAUGCUCGAAAGUGUGGGUAUCAAACAGGAUUAGAUACCCUGGUAGUCCACACAGUAAACGAUGAAUACUCGCUGUUUGCGAUAUACAGUAAGCGGCCAAGCGAAAGCGUUAAGUAUUCCACCUGGGGAGUACGCCGGCAACGGUGAAACUCAAAGGAAUUGACGGGGGCCCGCACAAGCAGUGGAGUAUGUGGUUUAAUUCGAAGCAACGCGAAGAACCUUACCAGGUCUUGACAUCCUGCUAACGAAGUAGAGAUACAUCAGGUGCCCUUCGGGGAAAGCAGAGACAGGUGGUGCAUGGUUGUCGUCAGCUCGUGUCGUGAGAUGUUGGGUUAAGUCCCGCAACGAGCGCAACCCUUAUCUUUAGUAGCCAGCAGUAAGAUGGGCACUCUAGAGAGACUGCCGGGGAUAACCCGGAGGAAGGUGGGGAUGACGUCAAAUCAUCAUGCCCUUUAUGUCUUGGGCUACACACGUACUACAAUGGCUAUAACAAAGAGAAGCGAGACAGUGAUGUGGAGCAAAACUCAAAAAAAUAGUCUCAGUUCGGAUUGAAGGCUGAAACUCGCCUUCAUGAAGCCGGAAUUGCUAGUAAUGGCAGGUCAGCAUACUGCCGUGAAUACGUUCCCGGGCCUUGUACACACCGCCCGUCACACCAUGAGAGUUGGGGAUACCCGAAGCCUGUGAGCCAACAGUUAAAUGAGGCAGCAGUCGAAGGUAGAAUCAAUGAUUGGGGUG
rnacentral:rRNA from 1 species